UUCCUUAUAGUUUAAGAAGAAUUGGAUUUUGAAGCAAUCAAGGUAGUACAUUUACUUUUGGAAG
rnacentral:tRNA from 1 species